rnacentral:rRNA from 1 species
AGUAACACGUGAGCAACCUGCCUUUCAGUGGGGGACGAACAUUUGGAAACGAAUGCUAAUACCGCAUAAGACCACAGUGUCGCAUGGCACAGGGGUCAAAGGAUUUAUCCGCUGAAAGAUGGGCUCGCGUCCGAUUAGCUAGAUGGUGAGGUAACGGCCCACCAUGGCGACGAUCGGUAGCCGGACUGAGAGGUUGAACGGCCACAUUGGGACUGAGACACGGCCCAGACUCCUACGGGAGGCAGCAUG